rnacentral:lncRNA from 1 species
UCUAAUUGAUUAUGUUGGAACAAAAUUGAGUUUUGUAAAAUUCUCAAUCACUGUUAAAAGUUUUGAUGAUAACAAAAUAUUAAAUGUACAAUUGGAGAUACAAAAAUUUAAUUUCAAGUAUGCAGAUUUAUUUUGAAGAUAAGUUCUGAAGAUAUGCCAGAAGAUGACCAUUCAGAAGUUCUGAAGGCUCAAAGGUUAUCAACAUUCAGAAGAUGUAAGCUUCAGAAGUAGAAAGCUCAAAAGAUAAUGAAUCUCUACACAGAUCUCUGAUCUUUUAGAAUAAUAUGUUAGUUUAAUUGGUGGUCAAUAUAUCAAAGACGAAAGCGACCGUACCAAAGGUUCGGGAUAACUUUCUUACACUAUCCCUAGUCUUAAGGGAGUAACGUGAUAUGUCUGGUCUUCUUUGCUAAGAAAGGAAAGUUUCUCUUCUUUACUAAAAUUUAAUUUCAAGUAUGCAGAUUUAUUUUGAAGAUAAGUUAUGAAGAUAUGCCAAAAGAUGACCAUUCAGAAGUUCUGAAGGCUCAGAGGUUAUCAACAUUCAGAAGAUGUAAGCUUCAAAAGUAGAAAGUUCAAAAUUGGAUGAUAAUUCAAAUCCAUGUCAAGACAAUUUAGCUCAGACCAAACUGGCAAUCUUAUCUUCAUCAACAGUCAAAUGCAACGUCUAUAUUUCAUUCGCCUAGAUAUACAAGACGAAUUGCAUCUCUGUAAAAAGACACACGCGCAUACACUCGAUUUGAAAGAACUCUGCACAAAGACUUAAAAGCUCUGAAGCUCUGACUCUGUCAUAUUCUGAAUAUUGCUCAAACACUUUGUAACUUAUCAUACUUGUGUUUGUUUAAGUCUUAGGUGUCUUUUAUACUUUCAUUUGGAAAACUUUGUGUUUGUAAAAAGUCUCUUGUUUAGGUAACUUGAGCAUUUGAGUAGGAAGUCUCUUGUUAGUGAUAACUUGAGCAAGUGGUUGUAAUCUUUAUGAUUAUUUUAGUGAAACUCUCUUGGAAGUGCAAGAUAACUACUCUCGAUUUGUGAGAGGAACAAGUAUAAAA